ACACGCUGCACCGCCGCCGCCGCUUCUCCUCCCCCACCGCACCAUCGCCCUGAGUACCACCGCACACGCCGCCGGGGCCGCAUCUCUCCCCGUCAGGGCCCAGCCGAACACUGUCGUCGCCUCCACCUCCGCGUUUGGGCCAUCGCAAGAGUUCAGGGCUCCUCUAGGGUUCGAGAUCAAAUCCGGCCAGCAGAGCAGUAUCCUCAGCACCACGCUCACCAUCCCCCUCUACCUCGGCACCGGCGUCUUCACCCUCGGGUACACACCACGCCUUUUCUCACCAUCUGAGCAUUGCCAAGGAGCUCCUCUCCAUCCCCGAUGGCACCCUCGCCCCACCACCGACGACGAAUGGGCGCUUCAGAUUCCUGAUCAGCAGGAGAGUCGUUGAGGCUGAGACGACGACACGAAUGCGGCAAGGAGCUUCAGAUUCACUGCCAUUAGAAACUUGCAGGUAAGAAAUACUGCGGUGGUUUGGACCUCAGUUAUUGGCCAGAUGAAGGUCGGAGGCCAUUAUCAGAUCCUCGUCCACCUUUGGGCUAAUGCUGAUAAGAGGACGAGUGUCGUACACCUCUCCAAUUCCCCCCUUCAAUGUGGUCAGUGUUGAAUCAUCUACGUCAUACAGUGAACAAGGGCAUACUGAUGAGAGAAGGGAUGACAUGGAUUUUUCUCAUUCGAGCAUCAGGUUUUGUGCGCUGAUUAUGGUGUGGUCGUUGGGCAGUGGCACAAGCCUGGACGUCGUUGCUGCUGCCAUUCAAAUUUUGGAGCUGGAGCUUCGGACCAAGCUGGACCGAAAUCUGUUGCUGGUGAUGGUUGGAACAAGGGUGGUGAUCAGAAUAGCAGUUGGAACAGUCCUGGAAAUUUUGGAGAAUUCAUGGGGUGGUGACAAUGCUGAAAAAUCUUCUUGGAGGUUUGAUAAUCAGGUAGACAAUGAAGCUGGAGAUUCUGGUGGAUAUAGGGGACGGGGAAGAGGAGGAAGGGGGCAAUAUGGAGGACGAGGAAGAGGCAGAGACAAUGGUUGGAGAAAUGGUGAUGGACCAAAAUGGGAUGGUGGAGAUAAUUGGAACGCUACAAAUCCACCAAGUAAUCAGCCUUGGAGUAGCAGUGGAGGCACCAAGUCAUAUGGUCAAAAUCAGCCUUCCACUUGGAAUAAUUCAGAGGAUAACAAACCAUCUGUAGGUGAACAAGGUGAUCCUUGGGCAAGCAAGGUGUCUUCUACUGAAGGUAAAGGACAACAGAAUGAUUCUUGGUCAAGUAAGAUGACUUCUCGUGGUGCUGAGGAUACCAGAGGUGGCUGGGACAGCAAGGUGAAAGGCUCUUCCUGCAAUGAUGGGGGCAUUAGCAUAAAUCAUAUGAAGGAAGUAGAUUCACAUGCACCCGUGAAGCAGAAGCUACAAUUAUUUCCAAUAAAUGAAGCUACUCUUAAGCCAUUUGAGAAGGUUGAUUUAUUAGACAGCCCUAUUGCCAGACUACCUGACAUAGAGACCACAACACUUGGAGCCACAUAUGUUGCUAGCUUAGAUGCAGGAGUUUGGACCAAGGAACAAGUAUUUGCAGGUUAGCACAAGGAGAACGCGACAAUCUUUCGCCCAAAACUGGAUGAGGUGCACAAGAAGAGGGCUGAUUCAUGGUACAAGACGGUUUCAAGAUCAUUCGAUUUGGCUGACCUUUCUCUGUAAAUGUUUCUUGUCGGCGUUGAUCUAUCUGUUUUUGGAAGAUGCAAAUGAAUAAAUUGGUCUUUGCUGGUACUAUUCUUAACUACUUGUUAUUUACGGUCUUUACAAAAGCGAGUACAAGAAUAUCCUCAAAUUUUCGGCAGGAAGUAUUUUUCUAGAAUA